rnacentral:rRNA from 1 species
UCGGGUUGUAAAGCACUUUUGUCCGGAAAGAAAUCCUCUGGGUUAAUACCUCGGGGGGAUGACGGUACCGGAAGAAUAAGCACCGGCUAACUACGUGCCAGCAGCGCGGUAAUCGUAGGGUGCGAGCGUUAAUCGGAAUUACUGGGCGUAAAGCGUGCGCAGGCGGUUCGCUAAGACCGAUGUGAAAUCCCCGGGCUUAACCUGGGAACUGCAUUGGUGACUGGCGAGCUAGAGUGUGGCAGAGGGGGGUAGAAUUCCACGUGUAGCAGUGAAAUGCGUAGAGAUGUGGAGGAAUACCGAUGGCGAAGGCAGCCCCCUGGGCUAACACUGACGCUCAUGCACGAAAGCGUGGGGAGCAAACAGGAUUAGAUACCCUGGUAGUCCACGCCCUAAACGAUGUCAACUAGUUGUUGGGGAUUCAUUUCCUUAGUAACGUAGCUAACGCGUGAAGUUGACCGCCUGGGGAGUACGGUCGCAAGAUUAAAACUCAAAGGAAUUGACGGGGACCCGCACAAGCGGUGGAUGAUGUGGAUUAAUUCGAUGCAACGCGAAAAACCUUACCUACCCUUGACAUGGACGGAACUCCGCUG